GGAGUAAAAGUCGUAACAAGGUUUCCGUUGGUGAACCUGCGGAAGGAUCAUUAUUGUAUAACCGAGGUGCGAGGGCUGUCGCUGACCCGAAAGGUCGUGCACGCCCGAGUGCCCUCACACACAUCCAUCUCACCCCUAUGUGCACCACCGCGUGGGUCCCCCUUUGGCUUGUUCGGAGGGGGGCUUACGUUUUCACACAAACUUUGUAUGCAGUGUAGAAUGUAUUUUUUGUUUUUGCGAUCACGCAAUCAAUACAACUUUCAACAACGGAUCUCUUGGCUCUC
rnacentral:misc_RNA from 1 species